GGUGGGGUGCCCGAGUGGCCAAAGGGAGCAGACUGUAAAUCUGCCGCGCAUCGCGCUACGAAGGUUCGAAUCCUUCCCCCACCA
rfam:Gemmatimonadetes bacterium 13_2_20CM_2_65_7 13_2_20cm_2_scaffold_2293, whole genome shotgun sequence.